rnacentral:lncRNA from 1 species
UUUUUUUUUUUUUUUUUUUUUGGUCUUUUGUCUUUUUAGGGCCACACUUGCUGCUUAUGGAGGUUCCCAGGCUAGGGGUCCAAUCGGAGCUGUAGCUGCCUGCUGGUCUAUGUCACAGCCACAGCAACACCAGAUCCAAGCUGCAACUUUAACCUACACUGCAGCUCAUGGCAACAAGGGAUCCUUAACCUACUGAGCGAGGUCAGGGAUCGAACCUGCAUCCUCAUGGUUACUAGUCUGAUUCAUUUCCACUGAGCAAUGCCUGGAACUCCCGUCUCCUUCAUUCUUCAUGAGAGCCGAGCUGCACCCAGUUUCCUGUAUUCUAUUUCUCCUGCUAACAGUUUCCUGUAUUCUAUUUCUUCCUGUAUUCUAAUCCCUGGCUGGCAGGAGCUGUCGAUGAGAGGACAGGACAAGAAAGCCCGGCCUGGCUCUCCUGCAGUGGCUCCGGUCCCGAAUCACAGGUGGAACUUUGGGAUCUGGGCACCCUGAGAUCGGACUACUGCUGGGCUCUGAGACGGCGCACGGCCUGGGACCUCAGCAAGGAGACCCCACCGGCUGUGGGGUCAUCCCUCCCUCAGAACCAAGGGAAAGCCCUGACUGAGCCCAAGGGGGAGUCAAAGGGACCUGCCCUCUGAAGCUGGCCUGUCCCAGGGCCAUUCGAGGCUCUGCUAUGAGGCAGCCCUGGGUCCCUGGCUGAAUUCACUUCAGUUGCCUCAUCUAGAAAAUGAGAACAGAAGUUCUCAUCUCACAGAAAUGUAUGGGUAAAAUGAACGAACACGUGUAUACGGCUCAGAAUAAAGGCUUAAUAAACGUGAGCUCUGUUGUUAUUUUGAUUUGAUGCUAUCUAGCUAAUUAUUGAAGUGUAAUUACAUAUAGAAAAUGUACUUGUUUUACAGUUUGUUGAAUUUCGACACGCGACACUGUGUAACUCACACCCCAAACAAGACACAGCUGAUGACGCCUAUUAAUGGAGUGCCCUGUUCCAGGAGUCAGGCCUGACCCUCUCCUUCGGAGGCUGGUCUGCUGCGGCCCUAAAAGACCCUCCAGCCAGUUUGCUUUUCUCCACCCUCAGGUCCCCUGGCUGUAAGCUCUUUCCUCCAGUUUCUCUGAGCCCAGUCUCUCAGGGUGGCAGCCAGAGUUAUCACUUAAAAAUGCAGACCUGGCCAGGUCCCUGUCCUGCCUGAAACCCUCCUGGGACUGACCUCAGGGUAAACUCUGAACUCUUCUACAUGGCCUACAGGCCCUGUGCUCUGCCUGCCUCUCCAGAGUCACCCUCCACCUCCCCUUUCACUCUCCUCCAGUCUUAUUGGCAACUUUUAAAAAUAGCCAUUUUAGAGGGUGUGGAGAAAAAGGAACCCUAUUACACUGUUGGUGGGAUUGUAAAUUGGUGCAACCACUGUGGAAAACAGUAUGGAGAGUCCUCAGAAAACUAAACAUAGAACUACCAUUUGAUCUAGCAAUCCCACUCCUGGGCAUCUAUCCAGAGAAAACUGUGACUCGAAAAUACACAUGUACUCCAAUGUUCACUGCAGCACUAUUUGCAAUAGCCAAGACAUGGAAACAGCCUAAAUGUCCAUUGACGGAGGAAUGGAUCAAGAAAACGUGGUACAUACACACAAUGGAAUAUUACUCAGCCAUUAAAAGGAAAGAAAUGAUAGCAUUUGCAGCAACAUAGAUGGACCUAGAAGUUAUCAUGCUAAGUGAAAUCCGUCAGACAAUGAGACACCAACAUCAAAUGCUAUCACUGACAUGCGGAAUCUGAAAAAAGGACAGACAACUUCUUUGUAGAACAGAUACUGACUCACAGACUUUGAGAAAUUUAUGGUUUCCAAAUGAGGCAUUUGGGGGGUGGGGAGAUGCGCUGGGGGUUUGGGAUAGAAAUGCUAUAAAAUUGGGUUGUGAUGAUCAUUGGACAACUAUAAAUGUAAUAAAUUCAUUGAGUAAUAAAAAUAAAAAUAAAACAGCCAUUUGACUGAGAUAACUGUAGACACACACUUGUAUGACAAUACAGACAGAUACUGUAUGCACUUUAACCCACUGGGCAAGCGGUAACAUUUUGUAAAGAUGAAGUAUAAUAUCAUAAAUAUCAUAACCAGGAUAUGGAUAUUGAUACAAUCUGAUUUCAUUCACAUUUCCUACAGUCACUGGUCUGUGUGUGUGUGUAUUCAGUUUUAUACCAUUUCAUCACAUGUGUACGUCUGUCUAUCCACCAUUACAACCAAGUUAUGAUCUGUUCCACUACCACCAAGAUCCCUUGUGGCACCUUUUAUGACCAAACCCACUCCUCCGUAACCCCCUGUCCCUAACCCGUGACAGCCACCAAUAUGUUCUCCAUUUGUACGAUUUUGCCAUUUAUAAACGUAGUGUGUUGCAGCAACAUGGAUGGACUUUCAGGGCAUUAUGCUAAGUGCAAUAAGUCAGACAGAGUGAAAGACAAAUACCGUAUGAUAUCAUUUACAUGUGGAACCUAAAAAAAUACAGCAAUCAAAGAGUUCUCACUGUGGCACAGUGGGUUAAGAAUCCGACUGCAGCAGCUCGGGUCAUUGCAGAGGUGCCAGGUUUGAUUCCAGGCCCAAGACAGUGGGUUAAAGAAUAGGGCAUUGCUGGAGUUCCCAUCAUGGUGCAGCGGAAACGAAUCUGACUGGAACCAUGAGGCUGCGGGUUUAAUCCCUGGCCUUGCUCAGUGGGUUGGGGAUCUGGCAUUGCUGUGGACUGUGGUGUAAGUCGUAGACACAGUUGGAUCCUGCGUUGCUGUGGCUGUGGCUGUGGGCUCCUAGCCUGGGAACCUCCAUAUGCCGAGCAUGCAGCCCUAAAAAAGGGCAUUGCUGCAGCUGCGGCUCGGAGUCAAUGCCUGGCCCUCAAACGUCCACAUGCUACAGGUGAGGCCAUUAAAAAAAAGUACAGGAAACUAGUGAUUAUAAUAAGAAAGCAGACUCACAGAUGUAGAGAACAAACUAGUCGUUACAGGGGCGGGGCAAUAUUGGGGUUGGGGAGUGGGAGGUACAAACUCGGGUGUAAGACAGGUUACAGGGAUGCACUGUAUAACACGGGAAUACAGCCAAUGUUUUGUGGUAACUGUAAAUGGGGUGUAACCUUUACAAAUUAUACACAAAAAAGAAUAAAUAUCAACAGCGAGCAGAAAAAAUAAAAUCAUGUGGAGUAUACAGUUAAAAAAAAGUAAUAUAAAAUGGAAUCAUCUUGUAUGUAACCAUUUGGGAUUUGCUUUUUUCCCCCUCUCUCUUCUUUUUGGACUGCACCUGCAGCAUAUGAAAGUUCCCAGGUCAGGGAUCAAAUCCAAGCCACAGCUGUGGCGUAGGUUAUGAGGCUACUUAACCCACUGCACCUCAGAGGAACACUCGGAUUUGCUUUUUCACUCAGCACAAUUUCCUCAGGUUGAUGCAAACUGGUGCAUGUAUGAAUAGCUUAUUCCCUUCUAUCGUUGAUUAGUAUGUCGUGGUACAGCUAUACGACAGGGUUGUGGGUUUUUUUUUUGCUUUUUAGGGCUGCACCUGUGGCAUAUGGAGGUCCCCAGGCUAGGGGUCUAAUCAGACUGCAGGCCGGGGAGGAAACGAGGCCAUCUUCACAGGGAGCAGGCUGGGGUCCCUCCUCUGAGGGGAAGGCAUCGUGAGUCAGUGAGGCCUCAGGCCUUUCUGAGGAAGAGGCAGUGCUGCGGUGACCUGUUUUCAGGCCUCCCCGUGGCCUGGGAUGGAUCAGCAAGCUGCUUCCUUCCUAAGGACUGAUGAGUCUGGAACCAGGGCACCUUCUCCUUACAUAAAGCUCCUUCCAGCCCUGCAGGUUGAUGGUCAGAGGACAGUACAGCACUUCAAGGUGCCACAUGGCAGGGGAGGGCCUGAAGCUCUGACCCUGACCCUGACCCUGGCUUGCAGCUCUUGGUACAAACUGAACCAGGGGAGGAAAGCAGUCAGGACAGCAGGCCUUGAAAGUGCACAUGGCAGUUAAAAAACCAAACCAGACCAAUGUCAUUGCUCUCCUUAAAAUCCUUCCGUGGCUCUCAGGGAACAUGGGAACAAAGUCCACACCUUUGGGAUGGCUCACUGGUUCAGUGUGACCCGGGCUACCGACCCUCCCCGCCAUCACUCUGCUCAGGGCAGCCUGGCUUCUGUCCUUCCAACACACCUCAGGGCCUUUGCACCGGCUAUUCUUCUUGCUCCAAACCCCCUGCCUCCGGCCCACCCCUGGGCGAGUUUCUGCUUCUAGGUCACUUCCUCAGACUCUCCCAACUGCACUCCAACCUCAAACAAGACCCCACCUCCAGCUCUGUUAUUCUUUCUCAAGGCACUCUGGACUUCUCCUUUAGGGUUUAGUUACCAGUUAAAUUAUGCAGUUAUUUGAGUGUUUAUUUGCUAUCAAUCUCCUCCCACUAGAUGGUGAAUGCCAGGAAGUCAGAAUAAUGGCAAUGAUAUUAAUACAUUUAACAACGGCUCAUGUUUAUUAAACACCUACAGUGUUUCGAAGCAUUAUCUCGCUGACACCUUACACGGCUCUAUGAGGUCAAUACUAUUACCAUCCCAUUUUACAGGCGGGGAAGCCACGUCAGUCCUGUCCACAGGCCAGGCACUCGGUAAAGGGUUAGAUGUCUGGGUUACAUUUUUGAUAAUCCCUUCCCCUUAUCCUACUGGGGACAGAAGUCCAGACCCACAGAACAUAUUGUCACACUCUGGAGUGAAAGCCUCUGAUGCCGAGGGUCCCUUCUGGUUCGAAUCCCUCCCAACCCAAGAAGACAUUAUCUGAGCGUAUUUUUACUGUGCAGCCACUGUGUGUCAGGUGUGGCCUAAGCGCUAAAGACACGUCAACAGACAAAACGCAUGGGGCCGCGGGUUCAUACCAGGGAGAUGGACGCCAAGCCCUGCUGUUCUUCAGCAGGAAGAUCGGUGGGGGGUGGGGGUGGGGGACAAACACGCAGGCAGAGCACCGGGCUGUGGGGCUGCUCGGUGCAAUACCGCUGUGGUGGAUCCACAUCUCGUGGGUCGCAGCCAUGGCAUGUAGAACACAAACCAUGAACCCGGACUAGAAACUGUGGACUUGAGUUAAUAACGAGGCAUCCAUCAGUACUGGCUCAUCAAUUGCAAAAAAAAAAAAAAAGUGCUGUAUUAAUACGAGUGUAAAUAAAUGGGUAAACUGCAGCGGGGAGUCGGGGAGCUUGUGGGAACUUCCUGUUUGGGGCCAAUUUUCUGGACACCUUUUAUUUAUUUUGGCCACACCUAUGGCAUGUAUAAGUU